GGAGAAGUGAUGGGGCAUAUGUGUGAAUUCUGUGGGGAGCAGCGGUCAAUUGUAUAUUGCCGGUCUGAUGCAGCUUGCUUAUGUCUGUCGUGUGAUUGCAAUGUGCAUUCGGCCAAUGCCCUUUCACAGCGCCAUUCCAGGACACUUUUGUGCGAAAGAUGUAAUUCACAACCAGCUAUUGUUAGACGUGUUGAGGAGAAGGUUUCUCUUUGCAAGAACUGUGAUUCGAUUGGUCAUGCUGGUUCUGGUACAGGUUCAGUGCAUAAUAGACAAGCACUUAGUUCUUAUACUGGAUGCCCUUCUGCUGCAGAACUCUCUACUAUCUGGUCGUUUCUCUUAGAUAAUUCUUUAGGUGGUGAUUCAACUU
rnacentral:misc_RNA from 1 species